UGAGUACAAGAUGCUACGGCAUUGAAGCAGUCUAUGUCAUACUUCCAAGAAAAGCUUGCAAUGUCAUAAACAAAUAAUGCCUGUACCAUAACCGACACAGGUGGGUAGGUAGAGUAUACUAAGGGGCGCGAGAUAACUCUCUCUAAGGAACUCGGCAAAAUGACUCCGUAACUUCGGGAGAAGGAGUACCUUAUUUUAUAAGGUUGCAAUAACAAGGUCCAAGCAACUGUUUACCAAAAACACAGGUCUCCGCUAAGUCGUAAGACGAUGUAUGGGGGCUGACGCCUGCCCAGUGCCAGAAGGUUAAAGAAGUUGGUUAGCAUUAGCGAAGCUGAUAACUGAAGCCCUGGUGAACGGCGGCCGUAACAAUAACGGUCCUAAGGUAGCGAAAUUCCUUGUCGGGUAAGUUCCGACCCGCACGAAAGGCGUAAUGAUUUGGAUACUGUCUCGGAGAGGGGCUCGGUGAAAUAGACUUGUCUGUGAAGAUGCGGACUACCUGCACCUGGACAGAAAGACCCUAUGAAGCUUUACUGUAACUUGAGAUUGAAAUUGAACUUUAUUUGCGCAGUAUAGGUGGGAGACCUCGAAAGUAUUCUUGCGGGAAUAUUGGAGUCAUCAGUGAGAUACCACUCUUAUAAUGUUAGAUUUCUAACUUUGUAUCAUUAUCUGGUCAAAGAACAGUUUCAGGCGGGCAGUUUGACUGGGGCGGUCGCCUCCCAAAUGGUAACGGAGGCGCACAAAGGUUUCCUCUGAACGUGUAGAAAUCGUAUCUAGAGUGUAAAGGCAUAAGGAAGCUUGACUGUGAGACCUACAAGUCGAGCAGGGACGAAAGUCGGUCUUAGUGAUCUGACGGUGCUGAGUGGAAAGGCCGUCACUCAACGGAUAAAAGUUACUCUAAGGAUAACAGGCUGAUCUCCCCCAAGAGUUCACAUCGACGGGGAGGUUUGGCACCUCGAUGUCGGCUCAUCGCAUCCUGGGGCGGUAGUACGUCCCAAGGGUUGGGCUGUUCGCCCAUGAAAGCGGUACGCGAGCUGGGUUCAGAACGUCGUGAGACAGUUCGGUCCAUAUCCGGUGUAGGCGUUAGAAUAUUGAGAGGAGCCUUCUUUAGUACGAGAGGACCGAGAAGGACAUACCUCUGGUGUACCAGUUAUCGUGCCAACGGUAAACGCUGGGUAGCUAUGUAUGGAGAGGAUAACCGCUGAAAGCAUCUAAGUGGGAAGCCCACCUCAAGAUAAGUAUUCGC
rnacentral:rRNA from 1 species